GCAGCCGCGGUAAUACGUAGGGAGCAAGCGUUGUCCGGAUUUACUGGGUGUAAAGGGUGCGUAGGCGGGUUUGCAAGUCAGACGUGAAAUACCGGGGCUCAACUCCGGGGCUGCGUUUGAAACUGUAGAUCUUGAGUGAAGUAGAGGUAGGCGGAAUUCCUAGUGUAGCGGUGAAAUGCGUAGAUAUUAGGAGGAACACCAGUGGCGAAGGCGGCCUACUGGGCUUUAACUGACGCUGAGGCACGAAAGCGUGGGGAGCAAACAGGAUUAGAUACCCC
rnacentral:rRNA from 1 species